rnacentral:lncRNA from 1 species
NNNNNNNNNNNNNNNNNNNNNNNNNNNNNNGGCCCCGCCGCGGGCGCACGAGGGGGCCCGGAGGGUGCCGGGCACGGCUGCGGCGCGGGGAGUCCCCUGGGAACGGAGCAGCGCCGGGGCACGGAGAAUCCCCUGGGAAUGGAGCAGCCCCAUGGCACGGAGCGUCCCCUGGGCUUUGGGUGUCCCCAUGGCACGGAGCGUCCCCAUGGCACGGAGCAGCCCCUGGGCUUUGGGUGUCCCCGUGGCUAAGAGCGGCCCCAUGGCACGGAGCAGCCCCAUGGCACGGAGCAGCCCCAUGGCAUUGAGUGUCCCCUGGACUUUGGGUGUCCCCAUGGCCAAGAGCGACCCCAUGGCACGGAGCAGCCCCAUGGCACGGAGCAGCCCCUGGACUUUGGGUGUCCCCGUGGCCAAGAGCGUCCCCAUGGCACGGAGCGUCCCCAUGGCACGGAACGUCCCCAUGGCACGGAGCGACCCCAUGGCACGGAGCGACCCCAUGGCACGGAGAAUUCCUGCACGGAGAAUCCCUUUAUGGACCAUCCCCACGGCCAAGAGCGUCCCCUGGGCAUCGGGUGUCCCCUGGGCAUCGGGUGUCCCCGUGGCACCGAGCAUCCCGAAGGCCAAGAGCGUCCCCGUGGCGCAGAGCAGCCGUGCACGGAGCGACCCCGUGGCACGGAGCAUCCUCUGGGCACGGAGAAUUCCUGCACGAAUCCCUUUAGGGACCAUCCCCGCGGCACGGAGCGACCCCAAGGCAUGGAGCAGCCCCGCACGGAGCAGCCCCACGGCCCGCGACGUCCUUGCAACGCAGCCCAGCCCCGCAGCACGGAGCACGCCCGUGGCAUGGGGCGUCCCCACGGCGUGGGACAAGCUUGCAACAGGGAGCAUCCCUGCAACAAGGAGCGUCCCUGCAACAAGGAGCGUCCCUGCAACAAGGAGCAUCCCUGCAACAAGGAGCGUCAUAACUCAGAGUAUCCUUGCAGCAUGGAACAAGCUUGCAGCAUGGAGCGUCUUUGCAACACGGAGCACCCUUGCAACACAGAGCGUCCUUGCAACUCGGAGCAUCCUCAUAGCACGGGGUGUCCUCGUAGCAAGGGACGUCCUUGCAACAAGGAGCAUCCCUGCAACAAGGAGCGUCAUUGUAACUCAGAGUAUCCUUGCAACACGGAGCAUCCUUGCAACUCGGAGCAUCCUCAUAGCAAGGGACGUCCUUGCAACUCGGAGCAUCCUUGCAACUCGGAGCAUCCUUGCAACUCGGAGCAUCCUUGCAACUCGGAGCAUCCUUGUAGCAUGGAGCAUCCUUGCAACAAGGAGCAUCCUUGCAACAAGGAGCAUCCCUGAGACGUGCAGUGUCCUUGCAACACGGAGCACCCUUGCAACACGGAGUAUCCUCACAACAAGGAGCAUCCCUGCAACACGGAGCAUCCCUGCAACACUGAGCAUCCUUGCAACUUGGAGCACCCCUGCAGCAUGGAACAACCUUGCAACAGGGAGAGCAUCCUUACAACAUGGAGCAUCCCUGCAACACUGAG